CAGGCGGAGACACUUUAGUGUAACAACCACUGCGCUCAUGCCAGGCCCGCGAAAGGGCGGAGCGCGCACCCUCUGAGCUCCGCUCCGUGCGAAGCGGCGGGGCUGAGGGCUCAGGGUGCGGCAACUACAGGGUAGACGCGAAGAAAUAAUAGAAACCACCCUAAAUAGAGGUACAUUCAGAACUUAGAAACUCUCCCCUUCGCUGUGCUCCGAAAAUCGCAACCUUGCCUGGCUUCUGGUCGCUGACCUGGUUUUCGCCCUCGCGCUUAUUAGGUCUACGAGAGGGCCGUGAAACAAAAAGAUCUGUUCUGUUACGUGCUGCGAGCCCGCGCUCCCGAAAAUUUGGCAUUUCUGCGAGAGAAGCGUCUUCCGCGGCGUUUCCCGCCAAGACUGGGGGCGUCGCCUUCAGAACACUUUCUUCUGUGCAUUGAGGCAGGAAGUGUGAGGUGUCGGGAUGCUGCCUGUGGGCUCGUCCUCGGGCUUCUGCCCAAGCAGCCGUCUCCCAUUUUUUAAAUCCCCAGUGAUCCCUUCAUUGCCGAGCUCAACUGGGAGAUGUCAGGCUGCAAGUGUGCUCUCUGCUCUCUCAGGAGAGGGGUGGCCGCGGACGUGGUCUGAGAACCAAGUUCUGCGCAUUAGUCUGCAUUCAAUACCUUUAAAUGCCAUUAAUGCCUUCUGGUGUUCUGUGUGGCUUCUGCCCUAGGUGCUUUACCCGCGUUAUUUCGUUAAAGCCCUGAGAACCGAGGUCUGUUCUGUCUUAGCCCACCUGACGGCACUGAGGCCUGGGGUUGUGCCGCGGGUGGGCCUGGCUGAUCCCAGAGCGCAUGCGCAGCCCUUGUCACGUAGCGCCACAGAAGCGCCAACUUCUGUCGAUGGGCAAUUUGAGAAAAGUAACAGAAGGCCUUUUACUAGUUGAAGUUUCUAGGAGUGUUCAUGGAAACCCCACUGCCCUUCUCAUAAUUAUCUAUCCUCCCAACUGAUACUGACACCUUAAUUGUACUUAAGGGGCACCACCCCUCUGCCAUUGGAUGAAACUUUACUUUAUCUGUCAAUCAAG
rnacentral:lncRNA from 1 species